rnacentral:tRNA from 1 species
GCGUCCAGAUAGUCCAGUGGGCGGGACGAAAAACUCCUAGAUUGCGGGCCUGAGGACAGCGCUCGGCCGCCCACAUGGUUGAGGGCCUUGUCCCGUGUAAGCGGGGUGGGAGUUCGAGUCUCCCUGGGCGCA